GUGGGGAAUCUUGCGCAAUGGGCGAAAGCCUGACGCAGCCAUGCCGCGUGAAUGAUGAAGGUCUUAGGAUUGUAAAAUUCUUUCACCGGGGACGAUAAUGACGGUACCCGGAGAAGAAGCUCCGGCUAACUUCGUGCCAGCAGCCGCGGUAAUAUGAAGGGGGCUAGCGUUGCUCGGAAUUACUGGGCGUAAAGGGCGCGUAGGCGGACAGCUUAGUCAGAGGUGAAAGCCCAGGGCUCAACCUUGGAAUUGCCUUUGAUACUGGCUGUCUUGAGUUUGGGAGAGGUGAGUGGAACUCCGAGUGUAGAGGUGAAAUUCGUAGAUAUUCGGAAGAACACCAGUGGCGAAGGCGACUCACUGGCCCAAUACUGACGCUGAGGCGCGAAAGCGUGGGGAGCAAACAGGAUUAGAAACCCCGGUAGUCC
rnacentral:rRNA from 1 species